rnacentral:rRNA from 1 species
GGGUUGUGAGGUUAAGCGACUAAGCGUACACGGUGGAUGCCCUGGCAGUCAGAGGCGAUGAAGGACGUGCUAAUCUGCGAUAAGCGUCGGUAAGGUGAUAUGAACCGUUAUAACCGGCGAUUUCCGAAUGGGGAAACCCAGUGUGAUUCGUCACACUAUCAUUAACUGAAUCCAUAGGUUAAUGAGGCGAACCGGGGGAACUGAAACAUCUAAGUACCCCGAGGAAAAGAAAUCAACCGAGAUUCCCCCAGUAGCGGCGAGCGAACGGGGAGCAGCCCAGAGCCUGAAUCAGUGUGUGUGUUAGUGGAAGCGUCUGGAAAGGCGCGCGAUACAGGGUGACAGCCCCGUACACAAAAAUGCACAUAUUGUGAGCUCGAUGAGUAGGGCGGGACACGUGGUAUCCUGUCUGAAUAUGGGGGGCCCAUCCUCCAAGGCUAAAUACUCCUGACUGACCGAUAGUGAACCAGUACCGUGAGGGAAAGGCGAAAAGAACCCCGGCGAGGGGAGUGAAAAAGAACCUGAAACCGUGUACGUACAAGCAGUGGGAGCACGCUUAGGCGUGUGACUGCGUACCUUUUGUAUAAUGGGUCAGCGACUUAUAUUCUGUAGCAAGGUUAACCGAAUAGGGGAGCCGAAGGGAAACCGAGUCUUAACUGGGCGUUAAGUUGCAGGGUAUAGACCCGAAACCCGGUGAUCUAGCCAUGGGCAGGUUGAAGGUUGGGUAACACUAACUGGAGGACCGAACCGACUAAUGUUGAAAAAUUAGCGGAUGACUUGUGGCUGGGGGUGAAAGGCCAAUCAAACCGGGAGAUAGCUGGUUCUCCCCGAAAGCUAUUUAGGUAGCGCCUCGUGAAUUCAUCUCCGGGGGUAGAGCACUGUUUCGGCAAGGGGGUCAUCCCGACUUACCAACCCGAUGCAAACUGCGAAUACCGGAGAAUGUUAUCACGGGAGACACACGGCGGGUGCUAACGUCCGUCGUGAAGAGGGAAACAACCCAGACCGCCAGCUAAGGUCCCAAAGUCAUGGUUAAGUGGGAAACGAUGUGGGAAGGCCCAGACAGCCAGGAUGUUGGCUUAGAAGCAGCCAUCAUUUAAAGAAAGCGUAAUAGCUCACUGGUCGAGUCGGCCUGCGCGGAAGAUGUAACGGGGCUAAACCAUGCACCGAAGCUG